CAUGGUUGCCCUUGUCAUGUGGCACAUAACACCGCCAAAGCUGCAGGAGUGGGAUGUUAAAAGUGUCCCGUUUUGAUUUAGAGGACAUGGUAGUGGACAUCGGUUACUGGUUCAAGGCUAGCACAAAUCGGAAAGGAUACCUGACAGAGUUUUGUGAGCUCCAUGAAGCGGAGUACAUGGAGGUCCUCAUCUAUAUCUCGGUUCGUUGGCUAAGCCUUGAACGUUGUGUGACCAGGAUCCUGAGGCUUUAUGAACGUCUGGCCAGCUACUUCAAAUCUGCUGGUAUGGUCAUC